UACGGAGGGUGCUAGCGUUGUUCGGAAUUACUGGGCGUAAAGCGCGCGUAGGCGGCUUUGUAAGUUAGAGGUGAAAGCCCGGAGCUCAACUCCGGAAUUGCCUUUAAGACUGCAUCGCUAGAAUUGUGGAGAGGUGAGUGGAAUUCCGAGUGUAGAGGUGAAAUGCGCAGAUAUCGGGAGGAACACCUAUGGCGAAGGCAGCUCGCUGGGGCGUGACUGACGCUGAGACACGAAAGCCAGGGGAGCAAACGGG
rnacentral:rRNA from 1 species